UCUGAGAAGUCUGCCUCUUUCUUUUCUUCGAAAAAAAUGUAAAGAGAUCUGUUGACUGAACCAAACUGAAAGUAUUACCUUAAUCAAUAAAUACAAAUAUCUAAAGCCAGCGAGCUGCCCUUCACACACACACACACACACACAGACGGACAGACAGAGCCUGUGCGAAGAGAAUCAAAAAUCGAAGAAAGCUACAUCAUACUGAGAUGGGUGACGGCAGUUUUGAGGUCCAGACUAACAUACAUGGUUUCACUGCGACUGCAAUUUCUCUGUCAAGACAACAACUCUGGACAUUCGUGGUUACCUGAAAACACAGGGAUCUCUCCAAAUGUAAACGUUUUGAAAUUGCAGGCAAGAUUUAAAUUGACUCCAAGCAGAUUUUAAAAAUGUCCUGGACCUCAAAUGAACCCUCUGAACUGUUGCUUGACAUUGCACUGGCAUUAUACACCGUGCAGAGUCAAGACCCAAACACCAAACAGCAUUAACUCCAGGCGUCAGAUCACACUGUUAUUCCAGAUUUAUUGGACAAUGUCAGUAUUGCUGCAAAGUGAAAAUUAGCAAGAGAAAACAGAUUCUAAAGAACGCAUGACCUAAUGUAUUUCACAUAUAUAAACAUAUAUAUUAAAACAUAUAUUCUACAGUAAAAA